rnacentral:rRNA from 1 species
UACAGGGGGGGCAAGCGUUGUUCGGAAUUACUGGGCGUAAAGGGCUCGUAGGCGGCCAACUAAGUCACACGUGAAAUCCCCAGGCUUAACCUGGGAACUGCGUGUGAUACUGGAUGGCUUGAAUUCGGGAGAGGGAUGCAGAAUUCCAGGUGUAGCGGUGAAAUGCGUAGAUAUCAGGAGGAACACCAAUGGCGAAGGCAGCACUCUGGGACGUGACUGACGCUGAGACGCGAAAGCGUGGGGAGCAAACAGG